UACAGAGGUCUCAAGCGUUGUUCGGAUUCAUUGGGCGUAAAGGGUGCGUAGGCGGUGGGGUAAGUUUGAGGUGAAAGCUCCGGGCUCAACCCGGAAACUGCCUUGAAAACUAUCCGGCUAGAGGGUUGGAGGGGAGACUGGAAUUCUCGGUGUAGCAGUGAAAUGCGUAGAUCUCGAGAGGAACACCAGUGGCGAAGGCGGGUCUCUGGACAACACCUGACGCUGAGGCACGAAAGCCAGGGGAGCAAACGGG
rnacentral:rRNA from 1 species